UGUUCUAAUGGGGAGGUGAAUUUCGAAAUCCAGCUGCUUAAUAAAGCCGAGCGAGAAGACCAGGCUGAUUUGAGCUUCCUGGUUUCUUCAGGCGAAGUGAUCUUCCUCAUCCAGAGGCUCAUCCACAAUGAUGUUAUUGGCUCUUCUACUGCUGGCCUGGGCUGCCUUUGCAAAAGCACAACCUGCAGGU